rnacentral:rRNA from 1 species
UACGGGGGGGGCAAGCGUUGUUCGGAAUUACUGGGCGGAAAGGGCUCGUAGGUGGCCAACUAAGUCAGACGUGAAAUCCCUCAGCUUAACUGGGGAACUGCGUCUGAUACUGGAUGGCUUGAGUUUGGGAGAGGGAUGCGGAAUUCCAGGUGUAGCGGUGAAAUGCGUAGAUAUCUGGAGGAACACCGGUGGCGAAGGCGGCAUCCUGGACCAACACUGACACUGAGGAGCGAAAGCCAGGGGAGCAAACGGG